rnacentral:siRNA from 1 species
CUACGGGUGUCAUUCCAUUGCC